ACUUGUGCGGUCCUUGCCACCACGCCAGCCACGCCUAAUAAUAAGAAAUUAGAACUUACGACAGCCACUAAGACUGUCCGCAGCAGCAGCGGCGACCGGAGGAGCAGAGCGGCAGAGGAGCAGGAGCCAGGACUAUAAUCGUCUUGUACUUGGCUGGGUAAGGAACUUUAAGCUAACCGCAAAAUGUCCUGCCAAGUGGGGAUAGAGCCGGAUGGAAUGGGAGUGCAGAUGGGAUUGGGAAAAGGAUUGGAAGUGGAAGUGGAAGUGGGCAGUGAGCAGGAAGGCGGUCCAGAUGGAAUCGAGACUGCAGACUGUAGUGUCCUAGCACCAUGCCAGACGAUCUCACUAGAAAGGGCUAAGAAUAAUAUAAUGACAAUGGAUGUUAGCAAUUGUUUCCCUGUUCAGUUCAUACAACGAACAAGAGAUCUUAACAAUACAUUU
ensembl:ncRNA lncRNA:CR45966 long non-coding RNA:CR45966